AGUGAACGCUGGCGGUAGGCCUAACACAUGCAAGUCGAACGGCAGCACAGUCAGAGCUUGCUCUUACGGGUGGCGAGUGGCGGACGGGUGAUGAAUACAUCGGAAUCUUCUUUUUCGUGGGGGACAACGUAGGGAAACUUACGCUAAUCCCGCAUACGGCCUACGGGUGAAAGCAGGGGAUCUUCGGACCUUUCGCGAUUGCAUGAGCCGAUGUCGGAUUAGCUAGUUGGCGGGGUAAAGGCCCACCAAGGCGACGAUCCGUAGCUGGUCUGAGAGGAUGAUCAGCCACACUGGAACUGAGACACGGUCCAGACUCCUACGGGAGGCAGCAGUGGGGAAUAUUGGACAAUGGGCGCAAGCCUGAUCCAGCCAUACCGCGUGGGUGAAGAAGGCCUUCGGGUUGUAAAGCCCUUUUGUUGGGAAAGAAAAGCAGCAGGUUAAUACCCCGCUGUUCUGACGGUACCCAAAGAAUAAGCACCGGCUAACUUCGUG
rnacentral:rRNA from 1 species